CCUACGGGUGGCAGCAGUGGGGAAUAUUGCACAAUGGGGGAAACCCUGAUGCAGCGACGCCGCGUGAGGGAAGAAGUAUUUCGGUAUGUAAAGCUCUAUCAGCAGGGAAGAAAAUGACGGUACCUGACUAAGAAGCACCGUCUAAAUACGUGCCAGCUGCCGCGGUAAUACGUCGGGAGCAAGCGUUAUCCGGAUUUACUGGGCGUUAAGGGAGCGUAGGCGGUUUGCCAAGUGCGAGGUGAAAUCCCGGGGCUCAACCCCGGGGCUGCGUUUGAAACUGUCGGGCUGGAUUGCAGGAGAGGUAGGCGGAAUGCGUGGUGUAGCGGUGAAAUGCGUAGAUAUUAGGAGGAACACCAGUGGCGAAGGCGGCUUACUGGACUGUCACUGACGCUGAGGCUCGAAAGCGUGGGUAGCAAACAGGAUUAGAUACCCGUGUAGUC
rnacentral:rRNA from 1 species